rnacentral:rRNA from 1 species
GAUGAACGCUGGCGGCGUGCCUAAUACAUGCAAGUCGAGCGAACGGACGAGAAGCUUGCUUCUCUGAUGUUAGCGGCGGACGGGUGAGUAACACGUGGAUAACCUACCUAUAAGACUGGGAUAACUUCGGGAAACCGAAGCUAAUACCGGAUGAUAUUUUGAACCGCAUGGUUCAAAAGCGAAAGACGGUCUUGCUGUCACUUAUAGAUGGAUCCGCGCUGCAUUAGCUAGUUGGUAAGGUAACGGCUUACCAAGGCAACGAUGCAUAGCCGACCUGAGAGGGUGAUCGGCCACACUGGAACUGAGACACGGUCCAGACUCCUACGGGAGGCAGCAGUAGGGAAUCUUCCGCAAUGGGCGAAAGCCUGACGGAGCAACGCCGCGUGAGUGAUGAAGGUCUUCGGAUCGUAAAACUCUGUUAUUAGGGAAGAACAUAUGUGUAAGUAACUGUGCACAUCUUGACGGUACCUAAUCAGAAAGCCACGGCUAACUACGUG